AUGCUUGGACCGCACUUAUUGAAGAGACGGAGAGGAUUGUUGAGAUUUUUGUGUAUUCCUGGUCAGAGCGAGAUAUUAAAAAUACGGAAAGUGUAUGAUGCAUUCCGUGCGGAGUUCCCUCUGUGCUUUGGCUAUUGGAAGAAAUAUGCAGAUCAUGAAGGCCGUCUAGAUGGUGUCAAUAAAGUUUUUGAGGUGUAUGAACGGGCAGUUCUUGCAGUUACUUAUUCAGUGGACAUAUGGUGUAAUUAUUGUCAGCUUGCGAUCUCAACAUACAAUGACCCAGAUGUCAUCAGAAGACUGUUUAAUCGGGGUUUAGCAUAUGUUGGAACAGAUUAUGGUUCCAAUACUUUGUGGGAUGAGUACAUCAAGAAUGAAGAAUCACUUCAAGCAUGGAGUCAUCUAGCUGUGGUAUACACAAGAAUACUAGAGCACCCUAUAAAACAGCUUGAUCGGUACUUUAAUUGGGAUGGCAGCAACGGCGGAGCACGAGCAGGUGAGGUGCGGCGCCUUCGUCGGACCGCUACAGCCACGGCGGAGGAGAAGGUGGACGCCAUGGGCGCGGCUACAGAGGAGGCGGAGGAGAAGGCGGACAUCGUGCACUUGCUACACGGCUACAGCCGAGGCGGAGGAGAAGGCGGAUGCCAUGGCCUUGCUGCGCUCGUGGGCGUUCUUGAGGAUGGUACACCGGCCGUGCCGCCGCCAGUCCUCUCUGGCCUCCCGCGUGUUAUCCUUCUCAACCUCCGCUCCUUCUGUCGUGAUUUGGAUGGGAAAUUGGAGGCCGGCCGUGUCCUUGUCCAACACAAAUUGAUGUAG
rnacentral:rRNA from 1 species